UCAAAACCCACCCUAACAGUAACCCCAACCACCCUCACAAAAUCUGGCGACACCGUCACCCUCCGGUGGUCCGGUAUCCAAUCCCCCUCCGAUCUCGACUUCCUCGCAAUCUACUCCCCACCUACCUCCGCCCACAAAAACUACAUCGGCUACCUCUUCCUCUCCAAAUCCCCCACCUGGCAAUCCGGCUCCGGCAACCUCUCUCUUCCUCUCAUCAACCUCCGUUCCAACUACUCCUUCCGUAUCUUCCACUGGUCCCAAUCCGAAAUCAACCCUAAACGUCAAGAUCACGAUCAUAAUCCCUUAC
rnacentral:lncRNA from 1 species